UACGGAGGGGGCUAGCGUUGUUCGGAAUUACUGGGCGUAAAGCGCGUGUAGGCGGACCUGCAAGUCGGGGGUGAAAGCCCGAUGCUUAACCUCGGAACUGCCUUCGAUACUGCGGGUCUCGAGUCCGGGAGAGGUGAGUGGAAUUCCUAGUGUAGAGGUGAAAUUCGUAGAUAUUAGGAAGAACACCAGUGGCGGAGGCGGCUCACUGGCCCGGUACUGACGCUGAUGCUCGAAAGCGUGGGGAGCAAACAGG
rnacentral:rRNA from 1 species